UCGUCAUAUGCUUGUCAGAAGGAUUAAGCCAUGCAUGUCUAAGUAUAAACUAAUUUAUACGGUGAAACUGCGAAUGGCUCAUUAAAUCAGUUAUAGUCUACUUGAUCGUACCAAUUUUUCUUACUUGGAUAACCGUAGGAAAUCUAGGGCUAAUACAUGCUAAAAACACUGACUAUCGGGGGGAAACUCUCGGUUCGGAAGGUGUGAAUUUAUUAGAUUAAAAAAACCAAUGGUGGGGUUCGCCCCACCUUUUUUCCCUAGACGAUUCAUGAUAACGCAUCGAAUCGCGUAGCUUUAGGCCGCGAUGUUACAUACGAAUUUCUGCCCUAUCAACUUUCGAUGGUUGGAUAGAGGCCAACCAUGGUAGUAACGGGUAACGGAGAAUUAGGGUUCGAUUCCGGAGAUGGAGCCUGAGAGAUGGCUACAACUUCCACGGAAGGCAGCAGGCGCGCAAAUUACCCAAUCCCGAUACGGGGAGGUAGUGACAUGAAAUACCGAUGCACGGCUCGAAUAGAGUCGUGACGUUGGAAUGAGUACAAUUUAAACCCCUUAACAAGGAACAAUU
rnacentral:rRNA from 1 species